AACAAUAUACAACGGUGCACUUGACAACUUUUUUUGUGUAUAUUUAAUAUUUUAUUUUUAUUUUAUUUUAUUUUUAAAGGGACUGGAACUUUGCCCUAAAAAUUUAACCAAAUGCCAUUGAAAUUUUUCAUACGCCUAUAUCAAUUUACAUCUUUUAUUUUCAAUUCUUUUUUAACUUUAAAUAUAAACUGCAGGUCUGCGGUUAUCUUCUUCUCAAAUUCAUCAAGCCUGCUACCUUCGCGUUGACUCGCCAACACUGCACCUCCGCACCCACCACCACGACUGCACCUCUGCGGGCAUCACCGCGCCACAACUGCAAUAUCAAGGUUCUUAAGCAAUUCACGAACUUUGAUUUGGUUAUAGAGUAAUGGGUGUUGCUAGAAUUCAGAAUAUAAUUCGACUGCAUUUGCAGGUUGGAACCCAAGAACACUUGUUCUACCCCAUCAAACAGAAGAGAUCAAGCUCAAUGUGAGUAUAUUCAAUCAAGUUGUUGGGCAAUCAAGACCCCCACCUAGCUGCCAACACCACACGCCCAUCACAUUUCAUCCUCUGUACAUCCACUACGAGAGCUGCUCGUUCUUUCCUCUAAUAAAGUAUUUUUUUUUCUUUCUAAUUUUUUCUUUCUGAUUUUGUUUCCAUUAUUUUACCUCAUAGAUUAUUGAACUUGCAACAAUCUUGACUCAAAAAUUAUGGGAUAUAUUUAACUUGUAAUUUUAGUGUGAUUACAGGUGACAUAUGUGAAAGAAUUAGUUGAAUGGAUAGCUACGUCAGAUUUUGUGGAGAUGAAAUAGAAUGUGAUGGAAAUAAUGAACCAUUAUUUGCUUGCAAUGAGUGUGUAAUCCUACUGCAUGUGUUGAAUUUGCUAUGAGUAUGGAUGAGGCAAAGUGAAUCAAAGAUUUACAACUAUCAAAGAAAAGGGGAACGCCGGGAAGAGAAGAAAUAAGAACGAUUGAUUGUAAACAUUUAAUUUUUGUUUAAUUUGUACCUCUUGUUUUGUUUUUUUUUUUCAUGCUAAAUUUAUUGUAAAUAUUUUUUUUCU